UCAAGCUGACACGCAUGCGCUCCAAGCUCACUUUUGUUUUGCUUGUCGCUUGUCUGCCGCCAUAUUGUGUUUGUGUUCGAGAUAACCGCGUUUGCAUAACUUUUCCGCUCCUUCGCCUUUGGUUUUGAGACGCAUAGGCGCUGAAUUUUGGCAGCAGUUUGCUCUCGAGAAUCUGUGCUCCGCGCUGAUGAUGCAGAGGCCUCUUUCCUUCCCAAAGCUGCGGCCGAAGGCUGUGGUGAUGACUUGUUCAUUCUUCAGGGAGCAAAACAGGAGAGCCAGCCAGCGCUUGGAAAAGAGCCGCGUGUCGUUGCCACACGCAUUCCAGAGCUGGACGCCCUUGCCCUGGGUCCUGCUCCUUUCAGAGGCCAACGAGGAAACCCACCAAGAGACCCUGAACCACGCUUGGUUGCUGGUGCGACUUGAAGAUCGCCCUCUGACCUUCACUGAGCAGCAGAAACUCCUUAUAUGUGGAAAUGGAGUUGGUGUGUCAGGAGGCAAAAGGCUUUUCGGAAGAUGGACCAGCAGCUAAUGGCUAAGCUGCAGAAGCUGCGUUGAGAGCUGGUGGCUGCGCGAAUCUGUGAAUAGAUUGGAGGCACUGCAGACUGGGUGCGUGCGCCCGGCUACCUGCAUCACGACUAUAAAAUAAUCCUCUGUUGCUGCUUGCUCCAUAUCUCAAGGGAGACCAGGCCAGCGCCAUCGACGCCCUUCAGAAGUAAACGCAGAGCUAGACUAGCUGUACCCCAAGAAACGCACCAAGGAACUGGAGAAGCCAGCGUUACGGCGCAAUUGGUGUCUAUCCGCUCAGCUCAGCGAGGCCAGUCUCGACUCUCGGCGUCCCCGGCCCUUGAGUCUGGGUUGCCGUCGCUUUCUAGGUCCACCCGUUCAAGUGAACCCCUGGCCAGGGAACAGGCCAAGAAAAUCAGUUCCUCUGAGGCUAAAGCGUGUAGACGUGGCGCCAGUUGAAAAGACUCGACGCCGUCAUUACGUGCUGACCGUGGCGCCAAAAAUUUUCACGACCUUUGAGGGCCUCUUCAACAACUAACUGGUGGCGCCCAACAGGAAGCGUGAGGCCCUCACCCUGGCCGCCACUUCCUGUCGCAAGCUCAACCACGCCCCAGUUUUUUUCCUGGCAUCUGUUGCAUUUGUUGCAUAGGCGCAGAAUGCUAGUUACAGGCAUCCUCGAAGCCAUUUUUAGUAGAAAGUUCCAAUUUUUUUAAAUAAAUUCGCAACCAAUGGCCAUGUCUCUGAAAUUGACCCAUUUUUCAAUUUCAGCUGCGGCUUUGCACAAAGGUGCUGAUGAAGUAGCCAGAUUAGACGUUAUAGACGAACAGUGCUUUAGAGGAGGCGUUGAACCUUUCCUUUUGGCAGAGAUGCUGGAGGACCACGCAAUUGCGCUGCUGCAGCGCCACAUCAUCACAAUUUUUUGUCUUGUACAUUUUCGGUAUGUUUAACCGAGUGGCGCUGGCGCAGGCGGGAGCAGAUAAGAUACAGACUGCGCAGGGCAAAUCCAGCAGGUUGAUGAACUCGCCAUGUUGUCUGUCAAGGCCCGGCGUCAAGGAUGCCGACAAGAGCUUGACGUUUAAGAAGCCUUUGACAACAGCAACAUGGACAAAAUGUCCCCUGAUUUGUUGAAUUUGACCUUUGAAGCUUCAGUUUAUUUUUUGUCAUCAGCAAAUGACUGUAUAAAUAUUUUUAAUUGAAAAAUUCUUUAUUAUAUUUUCAAUUAGACGAAGGCGAAGGCGCAAACUGGCCCAAAAUCUCGUAUAUUCUUCGUUAAUCAAAAUAAUUGGAUAAAGGGUAAGAAGGGGCCAUGUUAAGGAUGGCUGGAAGGUGUUCCUCGCGGUGCUGCCAUACGUGUUGAUGACCAGAGCCCUUGGGCCAUCGAUGCGGAUGUCGAGGAGUUCCGCCUGCUCAAAGUCCAUCUCUUGGUCGGUGAUGUCGGUUGAGGCGAGGCAGCGGCCGCCCCUGCGCUGUUCGCAUCAUCACCCGUAUUACUGAAAUUUCGACUUCUGAAAUCCUGUUAUUACUUUUUUUGUAAUCUUCUUUUCUCAAUACAAAUAUAACUAUUUCAA